rnacentral:tRNA from 1 species
GCAUCGGUGGUGUAGUGGUAACACGCUGUCCUUCCAAGUCAGAAUUGCGGGUUCGAUUCCCGCUCGGUGCUCC